rnacentral:rRNA from 1 species
AACGAACGCUGGCGGCAUGCCUAACACAUGCAAGUCGAACGAGACCUUCGGGUCUAGUGGCGCACGGGUGCGUAACGCGUGGGAACCUGCCCUUAGGUUCGGAAUAACUCAGAGAAAUUUGAGCUAAUACCGGAUAAUGUCUUCGGACCAAAGAUUUAUCGCCUUUGGAUGGGCCCGCGUAGGAUUAGCUUGUUGGUGGGGUAAUGGCCUACCAAGGCGACGAUCCUUAGCUGGUCUGUGAGGAUGAUCAGCCGCACUGGGACUGAGACACGGCCCAGACUCCUACGGGAGGCAGCAGUGGGGAAUAUUGGACAAUGGGCGAAAGCCUGAUCCAGCAAUGCCGCGUGAGUGAUGAAGGCCUUAGGGUUGUAAAGCUCUUUUGCCAGGGAUGAUAAUGACAGUACCUGGAGAAUAAGCUCCGGCUAACUCCGUG